GACGAACGCUGGCGGCGUGCUUAACACAUGCAAGUCGAACGCUGAAGCUCAGCUUUUGUUGGGUGGAUGAGUGGCGAACGGGUGAGUAACACGUGAGUAACCUGCCUCCUUCUUUGGGAUAACGCCCGGAAACGGGUGCUAAUACUGGAUAUUCACUGGUCUUCGCAUGGGGGUUGGUGGAAAGGGUUUUUCUGGUGGGGGAUGGGCUCGCGGCCUAUCAGCUUGUUGGUGGGGUGAUGGCCUACCAAGGCUUUGACGGGUAGCCGGCCUGAGAGGGUGACCGGUCACAUUGGGACUGAGAUACGGCCCAGACUCCUACGGGAGGCAGCAGUGGGGAAUAGUGCACAAUGGGCGCAAGCCUGAUGCAGCGACGCCGCGUGAGGGAUGGAGGCCUUCGGAUUGUGAACCUCUUUCGCUCAUGGUCAAGCCGCAACAAUGGUUGUGGUGAGGGUAGUGGGUAAAGAAGCGCCGGCUAACUACGUG
rnacentral:rRNA from 1 species